ACCCGCUGAACUUAAGCAUAUCAAUAAGCGGAGGAAAAGAAACUAACAAGGAUUCCCCUAGUAACUGCGAGUGAAGCGGGAAAAGCUCAAAUUUAAAAUCUGGCGGCCCCUGUGACCGUCCGAGUUGUAAUCUAGAGAAGUGUUAUCCGCGCUGGACCGUGUAAAAGUCUCUUGGAAUAGAGCGUCAUAGAGGGUGAGAAUCCCGUCUUUGACACGGACUGCCAGUGCUUUGUGAUGCGCUCUCGACGAGUCGAGUUGUUUGGGAAUGCAGCUCAAAAUGGGUGGUAAAUUCCAUCUAAAGCUAAAUAUUGGCGAGAGACCGAUAGCGAACAAGUACCGUGAGGGAAAGAUGAAAAGAACUUUGGAAAGAGAGUUAAACAGUACGUGAAAUUGUUGAAAGGGAAACGCUUGAAGUCAGUCGCGUUGGCCGGGGAUCAACCUUCUCUUGAGUUGGAGCACUUCCUGGUUGACGGGUCAGCAUCAAUUUUGAUCGUUGGAUAAAGGCUAGGGGAAUGUGGCAUCUUCGGAUGUGUUAUAGCCCUUGGUCACAUACAACGGUUGGGAUUGAGGAACUCAGCACGCCGCAAGGCCGGGGUUUUACCCACGUACGUGCUUAGGAUGCUGGCAUAAUGGCUUU
rnacentral:rRNA from 1 species